rnacentral:rRNA from 1 species
AGUGAACGCUGGCGGCAGGCCUAACACAUGCAAGUCGAACGGCAGCACGGCAGUAGCAAUACUGUGGGUGGCGAGUGGCGGACGGGUGAGGAAUACAUCGGGAUCUACCCUGUUGUGGGGGAUAACGUAGGGAAACUUACGCUAAUACCGCAUAAGAACUGAGGUUGAAAGCGGCGGACCGCAAGGCGUCGCGCGAUUGGAUGAACCGAUGUCCGAUUAGCUAGUUGGCGGGGUAAAGGCCCACCAAGGCGACGAUCGGUAGCUGGUCUGAGAGGACGACCAGCCACACUGGAACUGAGACACGGUCCAGACUCCUACGGGAGGCAGCAGUGGGGAAUAUUGGACAAUGGGCGCAAGCCUGAUCCAGCCAUGCCGCGUGGGUGAAGAAGGCCUUCGGGUUGU